GAGNGGUAGAAGGCGGGGGACCGCAAGGCCUCGCGCGAUUGGAUGAGCCGACGUCGGAUUAGCUAGUUGGAGGGGUAAAGGCCCACCAAGGCGACGAUCCGUAGCUGGUCUGAGAGGAUGAUCAGCCACACUGGAACUGAGACACGGUCCAGACUCCUACGGGAGGCAGCAGUGGGGAAUAUUGGACAAUGGGCGCAAGCCUGAUCCAGCAAUGCCGCGUGUGUGAAGAAGGCCUUCGGGUUGUAAAGCACUUUUAUCAGGAACGAAAAGCGUUGGAUUAAUACUCUGACGUGCUGACGGUACCUGAGGAAUAAGCACCGGCUAACUUCGUG
rnacentral:rRNA from 1 species